GUCUUCCUCGUACACUCCCUCUGUAACGCCGCCCUUCUCCGCCGUCCGCCGCCGGCCGGAAAUCGUUGCCGGGGGCGAAGAAGCUCCAAUCCCUCCCAAAAAUACACCCUCAACUCGUCUUCUCCUCCUCUUUCCAAACCCCAUAUUAGUUUUUCUCGAAUCCCUGCCAAAGCCUUCAAAUCUUGGAUCGACAAACUCCGGCCACAACACAACUCCGUCCAAAUCACCCCAAAUUAACACCCCGUGCUCUCCUAGUUCUCCUCUACUAGAAUCUCCCACUGGUUUCCCUCAAAUAUCAGUCGAAUGGCUCGAAUAUUAGUUCAAAGUUGACCGAAAAUUCUAAUGUCUCUGAAAACUACCCAAUUGGUACUACACGGUCUCCUCAUUCCCUUCAUGAAGAAUUCGCUGUCAUUGAUGUUCAAUUCAUGCCUAAGAUGGUCAAAUUUUGAACCAAAGAAUUCGAGUCAAGCUGUACACAUUUUGAGAUUGUGUUGUUGUAGCUUCAUCUGUUGACAAAUGAAAUGAAAUUGAGGCUUGUGUUCUUAUGUGGAACUGCAGUUCAAAUAAUUCUGUUAUGUUUUGGAUGUCGUAAUUAAACUAGGACUUGUUAUGGUUUGUAUAAUGUGGGCUGGCUGAAACUAUUCGAUUUUGUUCAUUCAUUGAUAGUUGUAGUAUCAAAUAGUUUAAUAUCCUAGUUAGUUCGAUUUCGUUUUCAUUGGACGUUAGUCAUUUGAAAUCAAGUUGGGAAUCACAGGGUAUUUUGUAAUUGAAUUUCAAAUGUUGCCUGGCUGUCUCUUAUUUGUCAUGAUGUGAAUAAGGUCAUUGCACCUA